rnacentral:misc_RNA from 2 species
AAUGCAUCUUGCGCUCCUUGGUAUUCCGAGGAGCAUGCCUGUUUGAGUGUCAUUUUACAAUUAUCAAACCACUUGACGGUGGCUUUGGAUGUGGGGGGCUAUUUUUUUGCAGGCUUUUAUCCUCAAGUCUGCUCCCCUGAAAUAAAUUAGUGGUGUCUGGAGUGGAAACCGCCAGGUGUGAUAAUCUAUCGUCUACACCUUUGGGUAUGCCACAUGAAAACAGAUUGUGCUGCUUCCAACGCAACCUGACCCUUUAUGACAAACUUGACCUCAAAUCAGGUAGGACUACCCGCUGAACUUAA